UUGGCCCUGGUGUGGCCCGGUCCCUUGGGCGUCCACGGUCGCGCCUUCUGGGCGAAGUCCCCGCUGAGAGCGCCGGCCUGGCAGCCUCGCUGGCUCUCCUCUCCCAGCUCUCAGGCUCCCAUCUUCCCGUCUCGAGGCCGCGUCCCUGCACCCCGUUUCCCCCCAGCACAGGCGGCCCCGAAGGCUGAGCGCCCCUGAGCAGGAUCUGCUCGGGAAUGCCUGCCGCGUCCAGCAGCGACCUCACGGUCGUCGUGUCUUAACCGGCCCCUUCGGAACCUCGUGGCAGACAGAGUUCCCGUCUCGGGUUGUUCGUGGCCUCGGGAUGACGGUGUGGGCAGCGCAGUACUUGCACACCCGUUCCGCGUACCCUGUCCUCCAGAUGAGGUCAGGUGCGGGGGAGUGCAGUGACUCGUCCAGGCCACGCCCUGGGAGUGACAAAGCCGAGUUCACCGCGCUUCGUCAGUUUCCUAGGGAGAAUCGGGAGGCCUGGUACAAGUUGAGGCGGGGACGUGCGCCUCCUUUUCCACGAAGCCUCCUUCAGAGGCUCACCGCACGGCCAGUGCUUGCUUUCCCACGCGGAGCUCCACUGGUGGGUCACCUGCGAGAGCACGGCGGCGGCCGAAUCACUUCCUGCGGGUUUGUACAGCCCGUUCCGUGCAGAAAACCCCUGGAACCAGUUCACCUCUGCUUCCUCUGCUGGAGCAAGUUGAUCUUGAAUAAAAUGUCUCCCAGGAAUAACGCAUUUUCUUUCCAGCAGGGUGGAUGGGGAGCAUCACUGGCUGACAAGCUGGUCAGAAAAUGUGAUGUUCUGAAUCGCGGAUUUUCAGGCUACAAUACCAGGUGGGCCAAAAUCAUCCUUCCACGAUUAAUCAAAAAAGGGACCGGUUUGGACAGCCCAGUAGCAGUUACAAUUUUCUUUGGUGCCAAUGACAGUGCGCUGAAAGAUGAGAACCCCAAGCAGCACGUCCCCCUGGACGAGUACGUGGCGAAUUUAAAGGGCAUGGUGCGCUACCUCAAGUCCGUGGACGUCCCGGAGCACAGGAUCGUCCUCAUCUCGCCGCCCCCGCUCUGCGAGGCGGCCUGGGAGCGGGAGUGCCUCGCGCAAGGCUCGGCUGAGGGCGCGUCCGCGGCACCUGUGACGGAGCCACUUCUGUCCCUGCGACCGUUCGUCUUAGCACGUAAAGUACGAAGUCGGGACACAGAAGUGACUAGAACCUGGUUCCCGCGUGUCGAGUAGGGAGGGAGACAGUCCCGUCCAGACACCGGCAGCCACGUGACAGCCACGUGAUGAAUGGCGUGGCAGGCACGGAAACACUCUGUUGAAGGUACUGGCGUCCAAAAGGUCCAGGAAAGUUCCCCACGGGAGGUAAGGAGGGCAAGUUUAUCCAGAGGAAGAGGACAGACAGGGAGGAUGGGGCCAGGCCCGCUGUCCUCAGGCGUUGGAAGGGCCCGGUCGGGGGUAGACGACGCUCCCUGUCGUCAGCUCCAGAGGGUGAGCGCGGCCCCCCAGGGAGCCUCCCCUCGUGACGGCGUCUGCCUCGCGUAGGAUCGGGAUCGCUCGGGAGGUAGCAGGCGUGUUCGUGCCGCGCCUGGACGAGCGGAGGUGUGCGAGUCAGAGCCACAUCUGCUUCUCAGACUGCAGCUCACAGCCCCCUGGUGGGCACAGAACCGAGCUGCAAACUGAAUCGCCUGAACUUGGUCGUCGGUGAAUACGCAGGCGCCUGCUUGCAAGUGGCCCGGGACUGUGGGACUGAUGUGCUUGACCUGUGGACCCUGAUGCAGAAGGACGGUCAGGUACAGGGGCUUGCUCGGUCCUGUCGGGGCCGGGAGGAUGAUGCAGAAGUGACCCCGCUCCGUGGGGCUCUGAGCGGGACUUCUCGUCCUUUCUGUCAGACGGACUGCACUUGUCCCCGGAGGGAAAUGAGUUUUUGUUCUCCCACCUUUGGCCUCUGAUCGAGAAGAAAGUCUCCUCCUUGCCUUUGCUGCUCCCUUACUGGC